UGCCUUGAUAGCUCAGUUGGUAGAGCAAUGGAUUGAAGCUCCAUGUGUCGGCAGUUCGACUCUGUCUCAAGGCAU
rnacentral:tRNA from 2 species